UCUAACGCCGCAGUGGAUUAGAGCAUCUGAGAAGCUCUGGAAAAAACCUGUCAGGAAAACAACGACUUCAGCAGGACCCACUAGCCAAGGAAAGGGGGAUAAAAUAAACAGCAAAGGGAAGGAAAAACACGCACCUCUGAGAUGCUGCAGGUCCUGUUGCAGCCGCCGCCACCCCUCGAAGUCACUGUUGCUUCUGCCAGAGCUGCUACUAGCGCGCUUAUUAGCUCCGCCACCGCCCAAGGGGGAAACUUCUACAGAAACCCCAACCGAGCUUCCGUCGACUGUUCUACAUUUGGCCUGUGCCCAUGGCUGUGUGGAAGUGGUCACCCUCUUGCUGGGCAGAAGAUGCCAGAUUGACAUCUGUGACAGACUAAACAGGAUGCCUUUAAUGAAGGAGGGAAACACUCCACUUUUGUUUGCUAUAAAUUCUGGGAGACAGCAUAUGGUGGAAUUUUUAUUGAAGAACCAGGCAAAUAUACAUGCCG
rnacentral:lncRNA from 1 species